rnacentral:rRNA from 1 species
ACUGCUCAGUAACACGUGGACAACCUACCCUUGGGUCUGGCAUAAUCCUGGGAAACUGGGGAUAAUUCCGGAUAGGUCACAGAUGCUGGAAUGCACUGUGGCCGAAAGCUCCGGCGCCCAAGGAUGGGUCUGCGGCCUAUCAGGGUUGUAGUGGGUGUAACGGACCUACUAGCCUACGACGGGUACGGGUUGUGAGAGCAAGAGCCCGGAGAUGGAUUCUGAGACACGAAUCCAGGCCCUACGGGGUGCAGCAGGCGCGAAAACUUUACAAUGCUGGCAACAGCGAUAAGGGAACCUCGAGUGCCAGGUUACAAAUCUGGCUGUCGAGAUGCCUAAAAAGCAUUUCAUAGCAAGGGCCGGGCAAGACCGGUGCCAGCAGCCGCGGUAAUAC